UACGUAGGGUGCAGGCGUUAAUCGGAAUUACUGGGCGUAAAGCGUGCGCAGGCGGUUUGCUAAGACAGGUGUGAAAUCCCCCGGGCUUAACCUGGGAACUGCGCUUGUAACUGGCAAGCUAGAGUGUGGCAGAGGGGGGUGGAAUUCCACGUGUAGCAGUGAAAUGCGUAGAGAUGUGGAGGAACACCGAUGGCGAAGGCAGCCCCCUGGGCUAACACCU
rnacentral:rRNA from 1 species